rnacentral:rRNA from 1 species
UACGUAGGGGGCAAGCGUUGUCCGGAUUUAUUGGGCGUAAAGAGCGUGUAGGCGGCCAGGUAGGUCUGCUGUGAAAACUCGAGGCUCAACCUCGAGACGUCGGCGGAAACCAUCUGGCUAGAGUCCGGAAGAGGAGAGUGGAAUUCCUGGUGUAGCGGUGAAAUGCGCAGAUAUCAGGAAGAACACCCGUGGCGAAGGCGGCU